UUAGUCUCAGUUCGGAUUGUAGGCUGAAACUCGCCUACAUGAAGCUGGAGUUGCUAGUAAUCGCGAAUCAGCAUGUCGCGGUGAAUACGUUCCCGGGCCUUGUACACACCGCCCGUCACACCAUGAGAGUUGGCAAUACCCAACGUACGUGAUCUAACCCGCAAGGGAGGAAGCGUCCUAAGGUAGGGUCAGCGAUUGGGGUGAAGUCGUAACAAGGUACC
rnacentral:rRNA from 1 species